rnacentral:lncRNA from 1 species
UUAUGGCUGUCAAGAUAUUUUCACUUAUCAUACAAGGUUGCGACAUGAACAGAGCUGCAGAUUUCGACCAUACAAUUGUCCAUAUGCAGGAUCUGAAUGCGCUGUUACUGGUGAUAUUCAGUACCUCGUUGCACACCUAAAAGAUGAUCACAAGGUUGAUAUGCAUGAUGGGUGUACCUUCAAUCAUCGUUAUGUCAAGUCUAAUCCUCAAGAAGUUGAGAAUGCUACAUGGAUGUUGACAGUUAGUUUUCUCUCUCUCUCUCUCUCUCUCUACCUUUUCACUAUGUUGCAUAUAUGGUUUUUUAUUUUUCAUUAUACAGUUGCACAGCUCUGAAACAGCCUCUCACCCCAUAAAGUCAGGGCCUGUAGGGAUACGGCUGCGUAUAUUUUAUCCUCUCCAGAUUCUACUUGUGGGAUUACACUGGGUUUGUUGAUGUUGUUUAUGUAAUGUGUAAAAGUUUCACAUCGUCAUAAAUGGAAAUAAUGUAAUAUAUAUUGACUGUUUAAACAGAGAUUACACGCAGUAAUAAAAAUCCUUAUACAGAGAUUACAGUCAGUAAUAAACAUCCUUACUUCCAGAUCUGAAAAUUUCCAUUUAAAAUGCCUAUGAUAAUACCUAUCUGAAAAAGGAAUGUCUAUCAUGAGAGUUGACAGGGUUAGUUGGAUAGUUCGUUUCUUUUGUACAGAUGUGUGACUGGCGUCAUCCCUCAAGUAGUAGUUGUUUGAGGGUCUCAAUCUCCAAACCAACAUAUAACCAUGGGAUGUGUAUACCAUUAUUAUGUUUUAUGUGGGAAGCUCUAAGAACUACAGUAUUUUUUUACCAGGUAACAACGACAACAACAUACCCAGUAAAAUCCACAAGUGAGGACUGGGGAGGGUAAAGUGUACGCAGACCCUACCAGUACCUCGGGGAGGUAGAGAGGCUGUUUCUGGAAGACCCUCGGCUCCUUUUUUUACUAGGUAAAGGGAAAUAAUUUUAUUAAUGUUUGUGGGAGCCUCGUAUACAAGCCAAUAUAUCAAAAAAUAGAACCUACAACAUAAUAUGGUUCUCAACAAAAGAGGUUCAAUCCUCUCUCUAUACACGUAGGGACCUCAAAAGUACACUAAAACGAAACUGGAGACAAAAAACUACUUUGCGAUCUAAAAAAGCUUGCUCCACUCCUUCAAAAGCCCUCCUAAUUCUCUUUUUCCAACUAACCUACAUGAUUGCCAAGGGUACUCUGUGUGCCCUUGGGCUUUUCUUCCCUCCCGUAUGAGUCCAACUUUGCACAGGCUCCUUCACUGUGCCUGGGCAGCACCCCUUGCUUCCCAAACAAGUUAAGGGACACCCUUCAUAGCCUAUUACCUACUCUACAAUGCAAUAGUAGACAUGCUCACCCCCACUCUUGCAUAUAAAGCAGCAGCUGCAAUAGGUAAUCCUCCUCCUCCUCGGAUUUUCCGCUGUUUACACCCCUUGCCGCCAACCAUACAAAGAAACACACCUUUCUUGAAACUCAAGAAAUCCAAAUGGAGUUGUGAUGGAAGGAAUAUUCCUCUCACAAGCAAACUCUUAUAAAAAGAGCUGACAGUAACCAAGAAGGUACUGGCAGUACCGUCUGCAAAAGAGUACAACGAACAAAGGGGAACUACAAUGACUCCAUUCAUCUAUAAUAUCAUGGAGUCCCAAAAAAAAGAAGUUCCAAGUUCUCCAUCCUGUGUACCUUGCUCCAGAAAAACAAGCUGCUAUACAUUUAGAUAUACCUACAGAAACACACUUAUCUUUUCUUCAAAACAUCUCUUGUUUCUUUCCUGCCAAAUAUUCCACAUGAUGCACCAAGGGAUAGUCCACCCAAACUGUUUCAGGCUGCUCCUAAUGUUUUGUUCCCUCCAGCUUGACAUUAGACUCUUGACAUUCUUUGGCAUCACCUGCUGCACCCCAAAAAUGUAUGAAGUCUAAACCUGGCAGGUUGAAUCCCAGUUUUCAGCUUGAUUUUGCAACAACCUUGUAGCAAAUAAUUUCCAAAUUGUGUUUUCGCAAGGGGUUGUCAUAGGACUGGGCUUCCAACUGUCUGCUUCUCCAUAUUUACUACUACUUCCGUUUCCAUUUAUUUGUCUUACUUUUACUUUCCUUUUUAAUCUCUUUAAAAAAGAAUGCCUCUUUUCCCUUUUGGUUACAAGUAUAUGACACAUUUAAGACCACAAGAUUAAAUGACAUUUUUGUAUAUUCUACAUAUCUUUAAGGUGUGUUUGGUAUGGAGGAAAACAUUUUCCGGAAGAUGUUUUCUUAUUUUCCCAUGCUUGAUUGAACAAAAUUUUUGGAAAACAUUUUUUCUAGGAAAACAAGUUCCUUAAACUGUGGAAAAUGACUUCCUUAAUGAAAGUGGGAAACAAGUUCUAUAAUUGACAUUAUGUAUUUAUGUAUCCUCUCACCCACCCAACAUUCCCCAACCCCUACCCUUUGACCACCCCCGAGGCCCCACCCCUCCCUCCUCUAUAGUGUUUUGCUAGAUUAGAUAUAAAUGGUGUUGACAUAGAUAUUUUUUGCUUAUCAAAUACUAGAAAAUAAGUAAGAAUUUUUUUUUUUUUUUUGAUAAUCGUGAUGUUUGGGCCAGCUGGCACGCGCCUAGACUAAUUGCAUGGGAUACCUGCCACCUUCCACCAGCAACAAGUACCAAGGCUUGAACAAAUGGGAUCAAAUCACUCGUGUUUGUUUCAGUUGAAAAUUGAACCUGAGACCUCAUGGUGUUCAAUCUAACUUCAUUGAAUUACUAGGCCACGCCCUUGGGUACAAGAAACCAACUUACAUCUUCUAGGAAAGCAUUUUUCCUGGAAAAUAUUUCCUUUACACCAAAUACACCCUUAGUUUAAGACCACAAUAUUCACAGGCCUUUUUUUACUUUGUUAAAUUUCAUGUCAAGUUAAAGCCAGACAAUCAAAUUGAAGCCGAUUGAGUAAUAAUCAAUUCUUUCCAAGUUUCCUCCACAUCUUCAUUAGUCUCCAUAAUUUUACAAUGAUAACGUUGAACAGCCUUUCUUGGAAGGUGACCAAAUCUCUAUAAGAUUCACAUACACUUUUUAGAUGACAUUGAAAGAACUUUCCUUAGAAAUCAUUCUUAACUGUCCAAGAAGAUCUGGACUAAUGAGAGAAACAACGAACUCAAAGUUGGUGGCCUCCUGUUUGAUGCUUCGAGGAAAAGGAUGUAUGCAUUUUGACAUUUUGUUACAUCUAUAACUGUAGUCUGUGAAAAAGGAGAGCAACUGAUAGCUGUUUCUGUUACUUUCUUGUUCUCAAAGUUGGCGGUCUCCUAUUAGAUACUUUGAGGAAAAGGAUGUAUGCAUUUCGACAUUUUUUACAUCUGUAACUUUAGGUUCUUUAUUCAUUGUCAUGUGAGCUACUUGAAUGCCCUGUUUGUAUGAAUCCAAUGUACCCGCCAAUUCAUCAGGUAGGUUCUAAUGUCGCUUAAAUUGGAAUGGCAGCUUUGCAAUGAGAGUGCUUUGGAUCUCUUGAAGAUGACUGAUAAGGAUUGGAUAAAAAUGCUACCAUUUCUUCACAAGUAGUCAUCGUUUUUCUAAAUGAUUAUGGAGCACCAGAUUGUUUAUAGUUCCAAUCUCUAAAGAAUUUAUUGGGUAGUGAAUGGUUUGAUUUCUAAGAAAAAGUAAUACUGAUACACUAUCAUACAUAAGUUAGAUGCUAUCAUCUCUCCUAUGAAUGGGAGUUAAUGUCCAGCUUCUGUAAUACUCAUUAUGCAUUUUUUCUAGACAAAUGACUACAUAAAUGGUACUAAUGAGUCUUUAAAUUCACGUUCCACAUCUUAAUAAAGUUGCAGCAUAAUAUAAUGAAUUUGAACUAUUAUAGGGAGAAAAUGUGUGUUAGUCUGUUCACUAGAGAUGAAAUAGUUUUCUCCAGUCUCCCCAUUCUUUAGUAAAAAAGUUUGCAAUUUGCUAGACAGCUAGUAGAGUGCCUUGACCUACGAAGAAAUAAGUUUCAGCCAUCCCAUUUUUUGGUUUCCUAAUGUUAAAUCCCUCUGUUGCACACUCCGAAUAUCCAGUGCCAGGCAUUCAGGGUUGUUAAGGGUCUCGCAUUGGUUGAGGGAAUGGGUUGUUGUCUCCGUUUAUGGUAUAGGAAAAUCCUCACCGUAUGAGUUAGCUUGAAUUAAGCCAUCUCUGAUCCACUUCUUUUUAUGUAUUAAAGCAGGAAGGUGUCUUGGUUCCAAGUCUCAUCAACAUUAUCAAAAGGAAUUUUCAUGUGCUUUGCUGAAGAAAAAAAAUAAACCUACAUGUGAGGGGUUUGUUGGUAUUAAAGAUGAAACUUUUCCUGUGUCCAAUCUUAUCAACAUUGUCAAAGGAAUUUCCAUGUGCUUUGCAAAGAAAAGAGUCAAACCUGCACAUCCAAAAAAAAGUUACUUAAAGUGAACCUUCUCUAAUAGUUUAAGCUUUUAAAUAGGAUCCGACUUUACGUGUAUUUGAGUUCUCCUUUUUCUUAAAGAGCACAAGUUACUCGUUGAAGGACCACACUCCUUGAUAUCUUUAACUGGGGCUUCAGUAUCUUGACCGAAGCAAUUAGCCGGUUUUAUUUUCUUUGUGCUCAUACUUGUGUAGAUUCUAAGCCGGGGGUCUAUCGGAAACAACCUCUCUACUUCACCUAUGGUAGUGAUAUGGACUCCGUACACUCUACCAUCCCUAAACCCCACUAGGUGGGAAUACACUGGGUAUGUUGUUGUUGUUGUUGUGCUCAUACUUGAGUAAGUCGGCAUGAUGUUAAUUAAGCUGUGGGAAAGAUGCUAAUUAAGUUACUAAUUAUGUAAACUGGUAGCUGUUUAUAUUUGUAAGAAUAGCCGGAGGAGGAAAAAACGUUUUCAUUUGAGGAACGAGGUCAAGUAUAGCAGCUUUCAAGUUAUUUGGGCGUGGUGUAAAAGGGUUUCCCAUCUUUAUUCCUUGGAGUUUGAAUUCUCCUUUCUUCCCUUCAAGUGAGGUGUAUGAGGGAUAAAAUGAUGGUUAAAGUCUAUGUGUCCAAUCAUUUAUUGACAGUAAGAGAGAGCGCCUUCCUAAAGGAUAAAUGCUAAUGUUAUGGACAGUCAACUCUACAAGCUGUAUUAGAGAAAAUAACAACGAUAAGAGAGCACCUGCUUUCCUACAAUAUAAGCAUAUUUAUGGACUCUACUAUAUACCCAAUGCACCUCUUACUUCUAUGGCCUGUGUAAAGGAAUUAACACAAUGGAGGCGGUAAAAAAUAUAAUUUUAUUGAAUUCUUCCUCUUCUUAGGUAGUGUGUGAUAGUUUGGAUAAACCAAAUUGGAAUGUUAGACCCUCAACGGUUGGCAUUCAGAGUGUUUGUGUGGCCCAUUUAAAAGAAAAAGAUGUUGAUUCACCAAUGUUCUUUAAAAAGAAAAAAGAGUAUCAUUAAUGCCUUUCAAAAGAAGAAGCUGGCCGUCUCAGCUUAUGUUUCCUUUUUCUUCGUCCUCCUCUUUUUUUAAGCUUGUGAUCUUAUUCUUCAAGUCAUUAGAUGCAUUUCUUGAGCUGUUACCGAGUUUUUUGACCUUUUUCUUGAAAGUGUCCAAAUGGCCACACGUUAUGCGUGAAGUGCAAGUCAAAAGUACAUGUAUGUCCAAUUUGCCGCCAUGAGCUUGGAAACAUAAGAUGUCUAGCACUGGAGAAAAUUGCUGAGUCGCUAGAAUUACCAUGCCGAUACCAAAUUUAUGGCUGUCAAGAUAUUUUCACUUAUCAUACAAGGUUGCGACAUGAACAGAGCUGCAGAUUUCGACCAUACAAUUGUCCAUAUGCAGGAUCUGAAUGCGCUGUUACUGGUGAUAUUCAGUACCUCGUUGCACACCUAAAAGAUGAUCACAAGGUUGAUAUGCAUGAUGGGUGUACCUUCAAUCAUCGUUAUGUCAAGUCUAAUCCUCAAGAAGUUGAGAAUGCUACAUGGAUGUUGACAGUUAGUUUUCUCUCUCUCUCUCUCUCUCUCUCUACCUUUUCACUAUGUUGCAUAUAUGGUUUUUUAUUUUUCAUUAUACAGUUGCACAGCUCUGAAACAGCCUCUCACCCCAUAAAGUCAGGGCCUGUAGGGAUACGGCUGCGUAUAUUUUAUCCUCUCCAGAUUCUACUUGUGGGAUUACACUGGGUUUGUUGAUGUUGUUUAUGUAAUGUGUAAAAGUUUCACAUCGUCAUAAAUGGAAAUAAUGUAAUAUAUAUUGACUGUUUAAACAGAGAUUACACUCAGUAAUAAAAAUCCUUAUACAGAGAUUACAGUCAGUAAUAAACAUCCUUACUUCCAG